CUAGCGUUGUCCGGAAUCAUUGGGCGUAAAGAGCGUGUAGGCGGCCCGGUAAGUCCGCUGUGAAAGUCGGGGGCUCAACCCUCGAAUGCCGGUGGAUACUGUCGGGCUAGAGUUCGGAAGAGGCGAGUGGAAUUCCUGGUGUAGCGGUGAAAUGCGCAGAUAUCAGGAGGAACACCGGUGGCGAAGGCGGUUCUCUGGGCAUUACCUGACGCUGAGGAGCGAAAGUGUGGGGAGCGAACAGG
rnacentral:rRNA from 1 species